rnacentral:rRNA from 1 species
GAUGAACGCUGGCGGCGUGCCUAAUACAUGCAAGUCGAGCGAACAGACGAGGAGCUUGCUCCUCUGACGUUAGCGGCGGACGGGUGAGUAACACGUGGAUAACCUACCUAUAAGACUGGGAUAACUUCGGGAAACCGGAGCUAAUACCGGAUAAUAUAUUGAACCGCAUGGUUCAAUAGUGAAAGACGGUCUUGCUGUCACGUAUAGAUGGAUCCGCGCCGCAUUAGCUAGUUGGUAAGGUAACGGCUUACCAAGGCAACGAUGCGUAGCCGACCUGAGAGGGUGAUCGGCCACACUGGAACUGAGACACGGUCCAGACUCCUACGGGAGGCAGCAGUAGGGAAUCUUCCGCAAUGGGCGAAAGCUUGACGGAGCAACGCCGCGUGAGUGAUGAAGGUCUUCGGAUCGUAAAACUCUGUUAUUAGGGAAGAACAAAUGUGUAAGUAACUAUGCACGUCUUGACGGUACCUAAUCAGAAAGCCACGGCUAACUACGUG